rnacentral:lncRNA from 1 species
AAUAGAUUAAUAUCCAGUGCAUAGCAAUUCCAGCAACAACAAUUAAGUAAGUCUUUUUUCUCUUUUAUUUCUGGUUUUCUUAGAAGACUUCUUAUCCAAAACAGGGAAACACUUCUAUAAUUAUGUUGUUAUCUUACUAAACUGACGAACAAUACUUUGUUUGAGCACUUGGUCAUUUUUGAUAUUUUCCAUAACAAUAAUUGGAUGUUUGUCAGGAAACCUCUAAGUUCAAAGGACCUCUGAGUUCUGCUCCAUAGCCCUUUAAGUUGGCGUUUUUGCAGUUCCAUGUUCUAGUUCCAUGUUCUAGGCAUGAUGUCUGGUUGUUAUUUUGGCUUUUAGAAACCUUGACCGAGGCCUCACUUCAAAAAUGG